ACAUUUUUGAUAAUCUGUUUGAUUCUUCAGCUGUUGUUUUCAGGAAAAAAUGAGAAAACGCAAUUAGUAACAACAGUAGUUUAUGCUUUGAAGUGAGCGCUCCCAGUAUGGGAAGAGAUGGGAGUGGAGGCAGUAUUCCACCUGAAUUGUACAAGUGUGGAGGAGCUUUUCAUUCUUGAAGUGCCAAGAAACGUGUGGAGCCCUUGUCUCUGCUAUAGGAAGGCUAAGCACUGAAGAUGAGGAUGUGUUUCUGCAGCUAAUUGCCCAUGUGAUACCCAGGUCCUGCUCUGCUGUGGGCUGCAAGGCGCUGCAGGCGCUGGAGACUCCAAACCUUAGGCUUUGAUGCAUCAGUCAGUGCGAAGAGCAAGCUGGCCUUGUUAAGGUGCCUUCGCUUUGAUACCAUAAACAACAGAGACUCGGGGGCUGCUGGCCACCAAGGCAGGCACUGAUUAUUUAGUUCUGUUUUAUGUUUUCUGUACAGUGCUCUCUGUAUGUGAAGCAGUAUAAUUGAAAUCAUUAUUUUUUUUUAGUCUGACUGUUGUGACAUCUGUGAAUAUAAAGGCAUUUUUUUAAUCUCUCGAGUAAAAUAUUGUUAAUUGCUGGCUCAGACAGAUUAAGUGAGUAGAAAGGAUAAUG